GGGGAUGUGGCUGAAAGCUGCCUCUUACUCCACCACCUAUUGCCAGCCUCUGCUGUAGCUGAUCAUUUACUAAAGAAAAUCAGGAAAUGGAUUUUGAGCUCAGAAAAGUUGAACUGGCUUCAGAUUAGAAAAAAAAAUCAGUGUCAAAACAAAAAGGAUACCUCAGAUUUUGGAAGAGAUCUAUCCCUCCAUUGGAACGGUUCCCCAGAAUCCAGAACACUCACUGGCCAGCAGGGCCUUGUCUAAGGUAAGCCCACAGUUCCUAAGAUUUUCUCACACAACGAAGUGCUGCAUCUCAGCUGUUGGCAACUCAGACCAAGGCAUC